UUAGUUCCUUUUUAAAACUUUUGAGUAAUUACGAAGUUGAAUUUUGAGAAUUUGGGUAUUAUAUGAAAUACUUAUUCAACAAACUUUGUUUUAAAAAGUCUCUGGGGCUUAUGACUCACUAAAAAAACGUGCCUCAAACGCCCGGGCGUACGCCUCUUGAGACUUUCGCCCCACACCAUCGUCUCGGGGAGUUUUAGUACGCCUCGCCCCAGGGCUCGCCCCGAAAACGCCUUUUAAAACACUGGUUCUCUGCCAUGACCAUGAAAAGUGUUGGUAGUGCAGCUCUGAAGAUGGUUGAGGAAGUUCGCCGACAAUUUAAUACCAUUCCUGGUCUCAUGGAGGGCCAUGCGAAGCCUGAUUAUGCUACUUGUGUUAAGAUCUCGACUGAUGCAUCUAUUAAGGAAAUGAUUCCCCCAGGUGCUCUUGUCAUGCCUACACCUCUCAUAGUUGGGAUUUUCUUUGGAGUGUAGACUCUUUCUGGUGUUCUUGCUGGUGCUUUGGUUUCUGGUUUUCAGGCUGGUACUUCAGAGCAUGCAAGGACCCUUGGCCCAAAGGGUUCGGAACCCCACAAAGCUACGGUUAUUGGGUGACACCAUUGGUGACCCUUUGAAGGACACUUCAGGUCCAUCACUCAAUAUCCUAAUCAAGCUGAUGGUAGUAGAGUCGCUUGUCUUUGCUCCAUUCUUUGCCACUCAUGGUGGUCUACUUUUCAAGAGUUUUUAAGUAAAGAGUUGGGAGACUUACGGAGCCCUAUUAGUUAAUCCUUUUGUCACCAACCUUUCUACUCUGAUUACCCCAAGCAUGGGAUUUUUGAGUUAGUUCUUAGCUAGUCACAGGUUUAACUUUUGAUGAGAAGAUACUUACGACAACACGACUAGUUAAUUUUGAAGGAUUAUAAUAAGCAGCGGAAGCAAUCCCAGUAUCAAAAUCACAUGUAAUUUAGACAACUAGCAUAAAUGAAAUUUUACGGGUUACCUCUUGAAGCGUGAA